rnacentral:rRNA from 1 species
AUACGUAGGGUGCAAGCGUUAAUCGGAAUUACUGGGCGUAAAGCGUGCGCAGGAGGGUUUGUAAGACAGAGGUGAAAUCCCCGGGGUCCCCCUGGGAACUGCCUUUGUGACUGGAAGGCCAGAGUACGGCAGAGGGGGAUGGAAUUCUGCCGGUAGCAGUGAAAUGCGGAGAUAUGCGGAGGAACACCGAUGGCGAAGGCAAUCCCCUGGGCCUGUACUGACGCUCAUGCACGAAAGCGUGGGGAGCAAACAGGAUUAGAUACCCUGGUAGUCCACGCCCUAAACGAUGUCAACUGGUUGUUGGGUCUUCAUUGACUCAGUAACGAAGCUAACGCGUGAAGUUGAUCGCCUGGGGAGUACGGCCGCAAGGUUGAAACUCAAAUGAAUUGACGGGG